rnacentral:rRNA from 1 species
UACGUAGGGUGCAAGCGUUGUCCGGAAUUAUUGGGCGUAAAGAGCUCGUAGGUGGUUUGUCGCGUUGUUCGUGAAAACUCACAGCUUAACUGUGGGCGUGCGGGCGAUACGGGCAGACUGGAGUACUGCAGGGGAGACUGGAAUUCCUGGUGUCGCGGUGGAAUGCGCAGAUAUCAGGAGGAACACCGGUGGCGAAGGCGGCGUUCUGGACUGCAUCUGACACUGAAAGACGAAAGCCAGGGGAGCAAACGGG